GGGUGUGUGUAUGUGAGGAGUUGGGUGUGUGUAUGUGAGGAGUUGGGUGUGUGUAUGUGAGGGGUUGGGUGUGUGUAUAUGAGGGGUUGGGUGUGUGUAUGUGAGGAGUUGGGUGUGUGUAUGUGAGGAGUUGGGUGUGUGUAUGUGAGGAGUUGGGUGUGUGUAUGUGAGGGGUUGGGUGUGUGUAUGUGAGGAGUUGGGUGUGUGUAUGUGAGGGGUUGGGUGUGUGUAUGUGAGGG